UACGUAGGGUGCAAGCGUUUAUCCGGAAUUAUUGGGCGUAAAGAGCUCGUAGGCGGUUUGUCGCCGGUCUGCUGUGAAAACUGGAGGCUCAACCUCCAGCCUGCAGUGGGUACGGGGCAGACUAGAGUGCGGUAGGGGAGAUUGGAAUUCCUGGUGUAGCGGUGAAAUGCGCAGAUAUCAGGAGGAACACCGGUGGCGAAGGCGGGUCUCUGGGCCGUAACUGGACGCUGAGGAGCGAAAGCGUGGGGAGCGAACAGG
rnacentral:rRNA from 1 species